rnacentral:lncRNA from 1 species
GUAAGAUGAUGUUCAUUCGUGUUUUCUGUGUCUAGAUUACUUUUUAAAAGAUCAUGGUCAGAUGGAAACAUUCUUAGUGAAAGUCACUCGCCCACAUCCACCUCAAAAUCCAAUAUGGGCUUUUCUAGUGCUGGGUUAUCAGACAAGCCAAAAAGAGAAUGCAAAAUGCUUUCCGAGUCAACACCAGUAAUAUCAGCUUCUGAAAGUGACGUAACAUGUUCAAGGUACUCUUCUUUUCCUACUAAUGUGUACAUGUAUGCUUAAUUUUUUGUGUGAAUUUUUAAAUAAGAACUACCAAUUUUGUAUGUAGUAUGUGCUGCAUUAAUAUUUAAUGCAUCCUCUGUUUGGUCAAAAGGGUGGGAGAGUAGAUGGAACAGAAAAUGUGAUGUAUGAUUUUCCAUCAAAAAAGCACCUAUUUACCUCUCUGUUUUGUGGAGAUAGUUAUCUGUGGAAAUGCUUAUAAUCUCUUUUACGUUUAUGGGAAAAUUUGCCCAAAUUUUCGCAUGCAUUUUUUGCCUUAGGACUUCCAUAACUAUCUGUGGAAAUGCUUAUAAUCUCUUUUACGUAUAUGGCGAAAUUUUACAAAAUUUUUGCCGAAGGACUUCCAUCUGACUUCUAGAUUGCCCAAAUUUUGAUUUGUUCGAUAAGCUAAAAAUUCAUGUUGGACCAAUAUAUAUAUUCUCUUCAGGAUGGAAUUGAUUUAUUUAUUACUGGUCCAAGAUGUACUGCUGUAUUUGUUGCAAACAAAUUUGUGGGGGACUAAUAUAUUUUUGUGAUAGCUCAGUAACUCUUUCUAUAGCCGUGUGGUGGUAAGAUGAUGUUCAUUCGUGUUUUCUGUGUCUAGAUUACUUUUUAAAAGAUCAUGGUCAGAUGGAAACAUUCUUAGUGAAAGUCACUCGCCCACAUCCACCUCAAAAACCAAUAUGGGCUUUUCUAGUGCUGGGUUAUCAGACAAGCCAAAAAGAGAAUGCAAAAUGCUUUCCGAGUCAACACCAGUAAUAUCAGCUUCUGAAAGUGACGUAACAUGUUCAAGGUACUCUUCUUUUCCUACUAAUUUGUACAUGUAUGCUUAAUUUUUUGUGUGAAUUUUUAAAUAAG